AUGCUGGGGGAUGAUCGUCCGUGGUUGUGUACAUUCUGUGUACUGAGGGCCAGUCAGUCGUGGAGUUACCCCACACAAAUGACCUACCAGGAAGCCUUGACCUGCCGAAUCUCUGACCACCCACUGGAAUGCCAGUACCUCCUGCUGUGUCUCUACCAUGCAGAUGAGGACCACAUCUUUGUGAAAGAUCCUUGCAUCAAUGUGAGAAACUACACCAGUGAGAUAAAGACCCCUAUAUGGCUGGACAGGGUUGUGGAGAAGCUGCAGCAGAAUCUCUACCAGUCGGUGCAACAAUUUGUGUCUGAUGUGUUGCUUAUCUUCACCAACUGUGCCACAUUUAACAGGGACAAUGCAGAGUUCCGUGUGAUGGGCGAAAGAUUGAAGGAUCUAUUUGAGAGAGAGUUCAAGAGUACAUUCAGCAUCCAACUUCAGCAUCCAACUGCAUCCAACAGCCAGUAG
rnacentral:lncRNA from 1 species